UACGGAGGGUGCGAGCGUUGUCCGGAAUCACUGGGCGUAAAGGGCUCGUAGGCGGCCAACUAAGUCAGACGUGAAAUCCCUCGGCUUAACCGGGGAACUGCAUCUGAUACUGGAUGGCUUGAGUUCGGGAGAGGGAUGCGGAAUUCCAGGUGUAGCGGUGAAAUGCGUAGAUAUCGGAAGGAACGCCGGUGGCGAAAGCGGCAUGCUGGGUCCCUUCUGACGCUGAGGCGCGAAAGCCAGGGGAGCAAACGGG
rnacentral:rRNA from 1 species